GCUGGGCGUGUUGGCGCAUGCCUGUAAUCCCAAAUGCUCGGGAGGCUGAGGCUGGAAGAUGGAGAGGUCAAAGACAGCCUCAGU
rnacentral:sRNA from 1 species